rnacentral:rRNA from 1 species
AAGGCCAAUCAAACCGGGAGAUAGCUGGUUCUCCCCGAAAGCUAUUUAGGUAGCGCCUCGUGAAUUCAUCUCCGGGGGUAGAGCACUGUUUCGGCAAGGGGGUCAUCCCGACUUACCAACCCGAUGCAAACUGCGAAUACCGGAGAAUGUUAUCACGGGAGACACACGGCGGGUGCUAACGUCCGUCGUGAAGAGGGAAACAACCCAGACCGCCAGCUAAGGUCCCAAAGUCAUGGUUAAGUGGGAAACGAUGUGGGAAGGCCCAGACAGCCAGGAUGUUGGCUUAGAAGCAGCCAUCAUUUAAAGAAAGCGUAAUAGCUCACUGGUCGAGUCGGCCUGCGCGGAAGAUGUAACGGGGCUAAACCAUGCACCGAAGCUGCGGCAGCGACACUGUGUGUUGUUGGGUAGGGGAGCGUUCUGUAAGCCUGUGAAGGUGUGCUGUGAGGCAUGCUGGAGGUAUCAGAAGUGCGAAUGCUGACAUAAGUAACGAUAAAGCGGGUGAAAAGCCCGCUCGCCGGAAGACCAAGGGUUCCUGUCCAACGUUAAUCGGGGCAGGGUGAGUCGACCCCUAAGGCGAGGCCGAAAGGCGUAGUCGAUGGGAAACAGGUUAAUAUUCCUGUACUUGGUGUUACUGCGAAGGGGGGACGGAGAAGGCUAUGUUGGCCGGGCGACGGUUGUCCCGGUUUAAGCGUGUAGGCUGGUUUUCCAGGCAAAUCCGGAAAAUCAAGGCUGAGGCGUGAUGACGAGGCACUACGGUGCUGAAGCAACAAAUGCCCUGCUUCCAGGAAAAGCCUCUAAGCAUCAGGUAACAUCAAAUCGUACCCCAAACCGACACAGGUGGUCAGGUAGAGAAUACCAAGGCGCUUGAGAGAACUCGGGUGAAGGAACUAGGCAAAAUGGUGCCGUAACUUCGGGAGAAGGCACGCUGAUAUGUAGGUGAAGUCCCUCGCGGAUGGAGCUGAAAUCAGUCGAAGAUACCAGCUGGCUGCAACUGUUUAUUAAAAACACAGCACUGUGCAAACACGAAAGUGGACGUAUACGGUGUGACGCCUGCCCGGUGCCGGAAGGUUAAUUGAUGGGGUCAGCGCAAGCGAAGCUCUUGAUCGAAGCCCCGGUAAACGGCGGCCGUAACUAUAACGGUCCUAAGGUAGCGAAAUUCCUUGUCGGGUAAGUUCCGACCUGCACGAAUGGCGUAAUGAUGGCCAGGCUGUCUCCACCCGAGACUCAGUGAAAUUGAACUCGCUGUGAAGAUGCAGUGUACCCGCGGCAAGACGGAAAGACCCCGUGAACCUUUACUAUAGCUUGACACUGAACAUUGAGCCUUGAUGUGUAGGAUAGGUGGGAGGCUUUGAAGUGUGGACGCCAGUCUGCAUGGAGCCGACCUUGAAAUACCACCCUUUAAUGUUUGAUGUUCUAACGUGGACCCGUGAUCCGGGUUGCGGACAGUGUCUGGUGGGUAGUUUGACUGGGGCGGUCUCCUCCUAAAGAGUAACGGAGGAGCACGAAGGUUGGCUAAUCCUGGUCGGACAUCAGGAGGUUAGUGCAAUGGCAUAAGCCAGCUUGACUGCGAGCGUGACGGCGCGAGCAGGUGCGAAAGCAGGUCAUAGUGAUCCGGUGGUUCUGAAUGGAAGGGCCAUCGCUCAACGGAUAAAAGGUACUCCGGGGAUAACAGGCUGAUACCGCCCAAGAGUUCAUAUCGACGGCGGUGUUUGGCACCUCGAUGUCGGCUCAUCACAUCCUGGGGCUGAAGUAGGUCCCAAGGGUAUGGCUGUUCGCCAUUUAAAGUGGUACGCGAGCUGGGUUUAGAACGUCGUGAGACAGUUCGGUCCCUAUCUGCCGUGGGCGCUGGAGAACUGAGGGGGGCUGCUCCUAGUACGAGAGGACCGGAGUGGACGCAUCACUGGUGUUCGGGUUGUCAUGCCAAUGGCACUGCCCGGUAGCUAAAUGCGGAAGAGAUAAGUGCUGAAAGCAUCUAAGCACGAAACUUGCCCCGAGAUGAGUUCUCCCUGACCCUUUAAGGGUCCUGAAGGAACGUUGAAGACGACGACGUUGAUAGGCCGGGUGUGUAAGCGCAGCGAUGCGUUGAGCUAACCGGUACUAAUGAACCGUGAGGCUUAACCUUACAACGCCGAAGGUGUUU